GACGAACGCUGGCGGCGUGCCUAAUACAUGCAAGUAGGACGCAGUUGCGAACGGGUGAGUAACGCGUAGGUAACUACCUAUUAGAGGGGGAUAACUAUUGGAAACGAUAGCUAAUACCGCAUACUAGUAGAUGGACCUGCGUUGUAUUAGCUAGUAGGUGGGGUAAUGGCCUACCUAGGCAACGAUACAUAGCCGAGCCGGGAGGGUGACCGGCCAAACUGGGACUGGAGCACGGCCCAGGCUCCUACGGGAGGCAGGAGUUGGGAAACGUCGGAAAUGGGGGGAACCCUGAACGAGCAACGCCGCGGGAGUGAAGAAGGUUUUCGGAUCGUAAAGCUCUGUUGUUAAGGAAGCGGUACUUAACCAGAAAGGGACGGCUAACUACGUGCCAGCAGCCGCGGUAAUUC
rnacentral:rRNA from 1 species